UUAUAUUACUAGUUUUACAUCAAGUCCUAGUAGUAGAAAUGUAAAUGUGAGUACAGCUAUCACAUUGACAUGUAUUGUGCGCGGUACUACAUUGUUACCUGUAAAUGUUUCCAUAUCUAGUGUUUCUAGAGAAGGGAAUCUAACAUACGUCACCAGCUCUUCAAGAAGAAAAUUCACUGCAUCAACAAAGAUACAAUGUACCGAUUACAUGUUUCUCUGUACCGCAUACAAUGGUUAUAUUGAAGUUUAUACCCACAAGCUGUCUAUCAAUUUAAAGUGUUCAGUGACACUACUACUAGACAAAACAAACACAACGGUUAAUGCUACUGUUGGAUCUGAUCCUGUGUUACGCGCGUAUUAUGAUGGAUAUCCUUUUUCUAGCUUCACCUGGUACAGACGAUUAUCACAGGUUGAGGUUAAGAUGAACGGGUAUAGAACAAGUCAGUCAUGGUCCUAUGAUAGUCAUAAAUACAUUUAUCUUCAAAUCAAUAAUGUUUCUCUACAAGAUGCUGGACAAUACAGUGUUCAUAUUAAUGCUACUGGGAAAGGAUUUGUUGUUCUAUUCACAUUAAACGUAAAUCCAGUAAUGACAUCCAACUGGACAGUUGAUGCACUACAACAUAACUCUACUAUUAAAGCUGAAGCAACCACACUGCCGUUCAUUACCGCCGCUGGAUUGGGUAUUGGUAUCGCUGUAGGAGUUAUAACCACUCUUCUAGUACAGGGCGUGGUUUUGCUAGUUAGUAGAACUUUGAAAUCGCGAGCCAAUGUAGUUGUAGAUGUUAAAGACAAAGAAGCAAAAUCAACGAGCACCAACAAAGGCCAACAUAAAAACAGAACCAAACAAUCAGACUAUGACAACACUGCAUAUAAUCCAUCAGAAGAGGAAAUUUAUGAAAAUCUGGACGACGGACCAAAUCAAUCUGCUUAAGAGGACUACAACAGAUUGAUCAUUCUAGGUUCGAAAUAUUCCAGUUGGACCCCCGUCUUAAUCAAUGCGCAAUUUAUUAUUUUCUCACCGCCUUUCGGAAAAUCUGAGGACUAUUCAAAUAAGUUCGUCUGUGUGUCUCUCGGUCUGUCUGUAUAUACCACAUUUUAAAACACACUAACGUUGCUUGUAAUUUAAUUAUAAUGCUCAAACUUGGUAUAUAAUUGUUCAUUGCGUGCAUAUGUUGGCUUAGUUCGACGAGGAACAUUUACCGCUGAGGCUAAGCAGAGUGAUAAGCAAUUUGAUUGUCCGAUGUUUUAUAUAAAAGAUCAAUGUGCAAUUAAUUUUGAAAAGGCGGAGGAGAUCAUCUCACCGUUGGCUUGUUUCUAUGGUCAUGUGUACAAACAUUAUGCCAAGUAAUUAAUGAUUGUCAUCUAUUUAUUUUGGGAUUGAAAUGGGGGACAUGAUAUUUUUGUUUGCAGUUUCUUUAUUUAUAAUUAAAUUUGAUAUUAUAAUUUUUGUUUGCUGUUUGUUUAUUUAUAAUAAAUUUGAUAUAAAAAUUUUUGUUUGCCUGCGGUAUUCCCAACAUAAAUGUCAUUGUUUAACUGUCUGAAGUGCUGUCAGUGACCGCUUCCAUGAUCUCUUAAAAGGUGGCGUGUUUUGAGAAUUUUUCAUUAACCUUUCUGGAAUUGUAUGAAUCCUAUUGAUAUUCAAAGUCACGAAUAUAUUCGACAGAAAUUCAUUUUGCCACCAAAGUCAAAGUCUUUAUUAGGAAUUUAUUUUCAAAACCACAAAGGAUUUAGAUAAAGAGCUGAUAGUUCCUGCUAUAAUAGUUCAAAAAUAGAUAAUGAUAAUCUAAAUGCACAUAUAUAUUUUAUGAAAUUUAUGGUGAUUCCCAGAACCAACGUCAAACUUGACGUUGUCGCCACCACAGACCCCCCCCCCCCCCAUCCCCUUCUUAAGUUCCUGAACACGCCCUUGACUAUAUGCUUUAUUAUCUAUAUUUCCAUAUGUAUAGCUAUGGUGUUUUACAGUAUUUAUAGAAAAUAUUGGGUUAUUUUAAGGAAAGCUUUAAAAUCAUAUUUUACAUAAUGUGAGAGACAGUGAUAGGUGACAGAUUAAAAUCAUCAUAUGACGCCAUGUGUGAUACAAUCGGAGUGUUCCCACUUUGCCGGUAGGCUUUGAUGUCAAAUUUUGCCGCUAAUCCAGAGUUAUAAUCCUAGAACAAUGGUGUUAUAAACUAUAGUCCAUAUCUUUUUUAUGAAUAAAACUGUAUUGAUUUUAACAAAUUUAACUUUUAUCAAAUAACAUUAAAUAAUUUACACAUAUAAAAAUGUGGUAAGAACAUCAUUCUUGG